AUUUGCGUGGUAGACACUGUAGUAAGCUUUUUGGUGCUUAGGAGCUUGUGGAACCAAAUUCCGCUGUGGGCUUCACCACCCCAACUAUGCAACAUUGAAGUGUAUGAUGGAUUGAAAUCCUGCCGACCUGGAGUUUUCUAAAUGGUGACUGUGGAGAGAUGCCAAGGAAACUGAAUGGUGCCAAAUGCAGAAUCCUCAAGUUGCUCUCUAAACCAACAGAAAUUCAUUUGGGAGCUGGAUUUCACUGAGGCAGGAAGUAUUUCACCUACAAAGAUAGUGCAUGUGUGGAGAUUAUAUUUGGGAUCAGGAAAUAAAGAAGAAAAGUAAAGCUACAUUGUAUUUCAGUAGACAGAAGAGAACAUUCCCUGAAGAGAAGACCAAUGACCUUCUGUGAGGGAAGAAAGAAUGCUUCAGCAAUGGUUUAUAACUACAUGUAUUUAAAAUGUUUCCUUUAGAGUAAAUUAACUGUGGAAUAAGCGCAAUGCAUUUUGAAGAUACAAACACAGAUGUAAAAAGAUCCAGAGUUAUUUCAAAUUUUAAAAUGUAUAUGUGUGUGUGUGUGUGUGUUAGUAGCUCAGUCAUGUCUGACUCUUUGU
ensembl:lncRNA